rnacentral:sRNA from 1 species
UUUUACGCGUUAAGGAUUGAUGCGGCAUCCUUUUUUUUGUUGCGUUUAUGCAAAAAAAAGAUAUAGCGGAAAGCCUGACCAUUA